rnacentral:rRNA from 1 species
CCUACGGGAGGCAGCAGUGGGGGAUAUUGCACAAUGGGGGGAACCCUGAUGCAGCGACGCCGCGUGGGUGAAGGAGUGCUUCGGCAUGUAAAGCCCUAUCGGCAGGGACGAAGCAAGACGGUACCUGACUAAGAAGCCCCGGCUAACUACGUGCCAGCAGCCGCGGUAAUACGUAGGGGGCGAGCGUUAUCCGGAUUCACUGGGUGUAAAGGGAGCGUAGACGGCCGUGCAAGCCAGGGGUGAAAGCCCGGGGCCCAACCCCGGGACUGCUUUUGGAACUGCACGGCUGGAGUGCGGGAGGGGCAGGUGGAAUUCCGGGUGUAGCGGUGAAAUGCGUAGAUAUCAGGAGGAACACCAGCGGCGAAGGCGGCCUACUGGACCGCGACUGACGUUGAGGCUCGAAAGCGUGGGGAGCAAACAGGAUUAGAUACCCGUGUAGUC